UUCCUCUUCCACGGUUUUCAUGAGAUGAAAGAAAGUGCUGUGUGACUGCCAUGAAGGUAGGGAUUGCUUCAAUGCCGAAUGAUUUUGCAAUGGUGGAUUCUUUUGAGAUGAGUAAUGUGUAAAGUUCUUUAAGGAAAAUGGUGCAACUUCGAGUUCUAAUUGAUGUGCGAAAGGCAUUGAAAGCUGCAGAAAGACCAUUUAAGAUCUGAGGUCUAGAAUGUUAACUAUGGUAUUAGAAGAAUAUCUCUUUCCUAGAGAAAACUAUAAUGAUUUGGAGGAGGUUGAGCCAACGACAUGAACAAAGGAAGAGGGUGAUAAAGUAGUGUUUAUGAGGGUGAUGAGGACUUGGUCACGGGAGAGCCAUUGAAGAUACUCAAGAUUGAUUUCAGGGGUAAUUCUAACAGCCGUAGAAAAUAAGAAUUUUAAAGGACAAGGAAGGGAAUCGUCAAUGUGGUCGAAAAAAGAAUGGGCUUUGAGGAUGGAAGAAACUUGGUAUUUUCAUAGGACAUAGUUUGUGGAGUCCAGACAAAGGGGUACGAGGUUGCAAAUAUUGGAUAGUAAGAAGAGGGUGGAAGUAGGAACAUGUUGAUUUUGUGGUGAUAUCUCUGUGGAAAUGGUAGGCGUUUUAGUGGAGAUGGGUUCAUUUUGAGAGCUGGAGGUGGCCAUUGAAGAGGUAUGAAAAAUUUUAGUUUGAGAAAAGCUGUGAUACCACAAAAAGAUUGUAAAAGAAAUUGUAUUGAAUUGCUUGAUUCUUUUAAUUGAUAGAUUUUAAUAUUUAUACAAAUACAAUGAGAUAAAUAUGGUAGAAAAUAAUGACAAUUAAUUACAAUUAAUUUACAAUCAAGGGCUUAAAUUAUGGAAGGAGAUUUGGGGAA